rnacentral:rRNA from 1 species
GAUGAACGCUGGCGGCGUGCCUAAUACAUGCAAGUCGAGCGAACGGACGAGAAGCUUGCUUCUCUGAUGUUAGCGGCGGACGGGUGAGUAACACGUGGAUAACCUACCUAUAAGACUGGGAUAACUUCGGGAAACCGGAGCUAAUACCGGAUAAUAUUUUGAACCGCAUGGUUCAAAAGUGAAAGACGGUCUUGCUGUCACUUAUAGAUGGAUCCGCGCUGCAUUAGCUAGUUGGUAAGGUAACGGCUUACCAAGGCAACGAUGCAUAGCCGACCUGAGAGGGUGAUCGGCCACACUGGAACUGAGACACGGUCCAGACUCCUACGGGAGGCAGCAGUAGGGAAUCUUCCGCAAUGGGCGAAAGCCUGACGGAGCAACGCCGCGUGAGUGAUGAAGGUCUUCGGAUCGUAAAACUCUGUUAUUAGGGAAGAACAUAUGUGUAAGUAACUGUGCACAUCUUGACGGUACCUAAUCAGAAAGCCACGGCUAACUACGUGCCAGCAGCCGCGGUAGUACGUAGGUGGCAAGCGUUAUCCGGAAUUAUUGGGCGUAAAGCGCGCGUAGGCGGUUUUUUAAGUCUGAUGUGAAAGCCCACGGCUCAACCGUGGAGGGUCAUUGGAAACUGGAAAACUUGAGUGCAGAAGAGGAAAGUGGAAUUCCCUGUGCAGCGGUGAAAUGCGCAGAGAUAUGGAGGAACACCAGUGGCGAAGGCGACUUUCUGGUCUGUAACUGACGCUGAUGUGCGAAAGCGUGGGGAUCAAACAGGAUUAGAUACCCUGGUAGUCCACGCCGUAAACGAUGAGUGCUAAGUGUUAGGGGGUUUCCGCCCCUUAGUGCUGCAGCUAACGCAUUAAGCACUCCGCCUGGGGAGUACGACCGCAAGGUUGAAACUCAAAGGAAUUGACGGGGACCCGCACAAGCGGUGGAGCAUGUGGUUUAAUUCGAAGCAACGCGAAGAACCUUACCAAAUCUUGACAUCCUUUGACAACUCUAGAGAUAGAGCCUUCCCCUUCGGGGGACAAAGUGACAGGUGGUGCAUGGUUGUCGUCAGCUCGUGUCGUGAGAUGUUGGGUUAAGUCCCGCAACGAGCGCAACCCUUAAGCUUAGUUGCCAUCAUUAAGUUGGGCACUCUAAGUUGACUGCCGGUGACAAACCGGAGGAAGGUGGGGAUGACGUCAAAUCAUCAUGCCCCUUAUGAUUUGGGCUACACACGUGCUACAAUGGACAAUACAAAGGGCAGCGAAACCGCGAGGUCAAGCAAAUCCCAUAAAGUUGUUCUCAGUUCGGAUUGUAGUCUGCAACUCGACUACAUGAAGCUGGAAUCGCUAGUAAUCGUAGAUCAGCAUGCUACGGUGAAUACGUUCCCGGGUCU